GGGGCCUUAGCUCAGUUGGUAGAGCGCUUGCAUGGCAUGCAAGAGGUCAGCGGUUCGAUUCCGCUAGGCUCCA
rnacentral:tRNA from 1 species